rnacentral:tRNA from 1 species
AGCGGUGUGGCGCAGUCAGGAAGCGCAGUGGGCUCAUAAUCCACGGGUCGUCGGUUCGAAUCCGACCACCGCCA